GCCCCCAUCGUCUAGUGGCCUAGGACGUCGCCCUUUCAAGGCGGUAACACGGGUUCGAAUCCCGUUGGGGGCA
rnacentral:tRNA from 1 species